rnacentral:rRNA from 1 species
UACGUAGGGUGCGAGCGUUGUCCGGAAUUAUUGGGCGUAAAGAGCUUGUAGGCGGUUUGUCGCGUCUGCUGUGAAAAUCCGGGGCUCAACUCCGGACUUGCAGUGGGUACGGGCAGGCUAGAGUGUGGUAGGGGAGACUGGAAUUCCUGGUGUAGCGGUGGAAUGCGCAGAUAUCAGGAGGAACACCGAUGGCGAAGGCGGGUCUCUGGGCCGAUACUGACGCUGAGGAGCGAAAGCGUGGGGAGCGAACAGG